rnacentral:rRNA from 1 species
UACGAAGGGGGCUAGCGUUGCUCGGAAUCACUGGGCGUAAAGCGCACGUAGGCGGCUUGCUAAGUCAGGGGUGAAAUCCUGGAGCUCAACUCCAGAACUGCCUUUGAUACUGGCGAUCUUGAGUCCGGGAGAGGUGAGUGGAACUGCGAGUGUAGAGGUGAAAUUCGUAGAUAUCGGGAGGAACACCGGUGGCGAAGGCGGCGACCUGGGUCGAUACUGACGCUGAGGUGCGAAAGCGUGGGGAGCAAACAGG